AGAGUUUGAUCAUGGCUCAGGAUGAAUGCUGGCGGCGUGCCUAAUACAUGCAAGUCGAGCGGAAAGGCCCUUCGGGGUACUCGAGCGGCGGACGGCUGAGUAACGCGUGGGAACAUGCCCCAAAGUGAGGAAUAAGCACCGGAAACGGUGUCUAAUGCCGCAUAUGAUCUUCGGAUUAAAGGAUUUAUCCGCUUUGGGAGUGGCCCGCGUACGAUUAGUUUGUUGGUGAGGUAAUGGCUUACCAAGACUACGAUCGUUAACUGGUCUGAGAGGAUGAUCAGUCAGACUGGAACUGAGACACGGUCCAGACUCCUACGGGAGGCAGCAGUAAGGAAUCUUCCACAAUGGGCGAAAGCCUGAUGGAGCAACGCCGCGUGAAGGAUGAAGGCCCUCGGGUCGUAAACUUCUUUUAUAAGUGAAGAAUAUGACGGUAACUUAUGAAUAAGCACCGGCUAACUACGUGCCAGCAGCCGCGGUCAUACGUAGGGUGCAAGCAUUAUCCGGAGUGACUGGGCGUAAAGAGUUGCGUAGGCGGUCUGAUUAGCGAAUAGUGAAACCUGGAGGCUCAACCUUCAGACUAUUAUUCGAACUGUCAGACUCGAGAGUAGCAGAGGUAACUGGAAUUUCUUGUGUAGGAGUGAAAUCCGUAGAUAUAAGAAGGAACACCAAUGGCGUAGGCAGGUUACUGGGCUAUUUCUGACGCUAAGGCACGAAAGCGUGGGGAGCGAACCGGAUUAGAUACCCUAGUAGUCC
rnacentral:rRNA from 1 species